CCAGAGGAUGCCCGCGUUCCUGCAGAGCUGCCGCCGCGCAGAGAGGCUCGGUAGUUUUUUAUCCGGGUGAAGGAACUCCCGGCAGGACAGCACCUGGUCGGGGCAGGUGGGACUCUGCGAGGAGCAGGAUGAGGUUCAUGCCAUCCCAUAGAGCUUGCCUUUUGGAGGUGUUGUUGCAUGAGCUGGCUGCAAAAUGGGAGCCACACCUAUUGAUGAGGUGCUUUACUUUUAUUUUUUGAGAGCCCUUAAUUAAAACCAAUAAAAGCAGAGGAAGAUCA